UGAUGGGGGGGUGGAAGGUGGUGAGCUGCGAGCUUUGAGCGCCUCCUCAUACCCUGCGAUGGAUCUCUCCCGUUUGUGUGGAGCGUGACGUGCUCGCGCACAAAGUUUUGACCAUUACAUCAUAGCUUUAAAAUAGUCGGCUCGGAGAAAUUACAUUUUACGCACAGUGACAUCAGCUGCCGGUCAAAGGUGCAGUAGCCUAUUACUGUCCUUAUUCUUCUUCCGAGAGUGAAAUUUCCCCUGGGUAUCUCCACACCAGGCUUCAGCCGCAGCUGGUCUCCCCGGCCGGUGAAAUAAACAGCUUUCCCCCGAUCCGGAGAGUUUUCCUCAGCGUGAGAUGAGCGCCGGCGCUGGCGGAGAACCCGCCGCUCAAGCCCGGGUAAAGAGCGCUUGCCCCGGGGCAGGCGUGUGGCACAAGCCCCAGGGAUGGUGGCUCUCGCCUCCCUAAUACGCACCAGCUCCCUCUUGGAUCUCCCCUUUCUCCGGACUGUCCCGCACUCUGAUCCAAAACACAAGAUGAGAAUCACCAGGCAAGACACCCAGGGUGAUGUCCAAAGUUUCAUUUUUCGGGCAAAAAAAAAAAAAAAAGAGAAUAAAGAAAUAAAAAAAUGAAAUAAAAUUAAGAUGAGUAAAAAUAAAAUAAACAA